AGGAGAGGGAGGGCAGCUGACGGUGAGGACUUGACCCUCGCUGAGGAAGGUCCCCCCUCCAUGAGAAGGUGGGCCACGUAAGUGGCUGGGCGAGAGCCUAGGCAAGGGCACAGAAACGACACAGCUCUGACCGAGGAUGAGUCGCUCGGCGAUGACGUUGGUCAGAGAUCUGGUGAAACGGCGACUCCCCACCGGAGCAAGCCCAAACAGCCGGGAUGACCUCUCAGGACUGGCGGGUAGGGCGCUCAGUUGAAUGCUGCCUGAAACAGAAGGGGGCCUACUACCCUCACCU
rnacentral:RNase_P_RNA from 1 species